rnacentral:lncRNA from 1 species
UAGGAACAGCACAGCAGUGGCAAAUUGUUUUCGUACCCCCAUGGAGCAGAGAAAACAUUUUCUUGUUUUAAAAAACACUAAUAUUUUAAAAACAUGAAGAGAAAAGUAAGAAUAUCUCUUUAGCAGAGCAGAGUAAGAAGCUUAAAAAGCCCCAACUUUUCCACAGCUGGCCGCAACUACAGAGAGCAUCAGUCACCAUGCACUGAGGGUAAACUCAGAGCUCAGCCUGCCCUUUGGCCAAGAUGGUAACAGUAGAGUGUUUAAAUGUUUUGUUUGUUUUGUUUGAUGUGUGUGAAUGUUUUGCCUGCAUGCAUGUGUUUAGAGCCCACAGAGGGCAGAAAGGGCACCAGAUCACCUGGAUCUAGAAUCACAGAUAUUUGUCAGUCACUAAGUAGGAGGUGUGAAUUGAACUUGGGUCCUCUACAAGGGCAGUCAGUGCUCUUAACUAGAUCCAUGUCAGAACUUCCUUCUACUAUAAGUACCAUGUACAUCCUAAACCCGACAGGCAGCUUCAUGAUAUCUUCCAUUUUUGAAUGGUAACACCACUAGGGAAGUUUGGUAAAUAUGUCAGAAACACUUGGCUUGGUGGCUGAGCUAGAAGCUGUAGGCACAGAGGUGUGUCUACUGUUGCGUGCUGUGAGGACUGGGUCCAAGAUGUCAGGAAUCACAUCUUGGAAGUCGGAAGCUGGAUCAUCACUGCCCAAUCAUAAUUCACUGGUUCAGCUGCAUUUACAUAGCACUAUAUCCAAUGAUCCAAUGAGACCAGACCCCUCAAGCUCUGAGGGACAGCAACACGGAAUGAUGGGCCAAAAGAAAACCUUUC